rnacentral:rRNA from 17 species
CCCGCAUCUGUUGCAAUAGAUUGGGAUGACUUGUGGUUAGGGGUGAAAGGCCAAUCAAACUCGGAGAUAGCUGGUUCUCCGCGAAAUCUAUUUAGGUAGAGCGUCGACCGAAUACCCUCGGGGGUAGAGCACUGGAUGGGCUAGGGGUCCUCACCGGAUUACCAAACCUAACCAAACUCCGAAUACCGAGGAGUACUAGUCGGCAGACACACGGCGGGUGCUAACGUCCGUCGUGGAGAGGGAAACAACCCUGACCAACAGCUAAGGUCCCCAAGUCAUGGCUAAGUGGGAAAGGAUGUGAGACUCCCAAAACAACCAGGAUGUUGGCUUAGAAGCAGCCAUCAUUUAAAGAAAGCGUAACAGCUCACUGGUCUAAUUAAGGGGUUUUGCGCCGAAAAUGUAACGGGGCUAAAGCCAUGCACCGAAGCUUUGGGUUCACCGCAAGGUGAGCGGUAGCGGAGCGUUCCGUAGGCCGAUGAAGGAGGAUCCGUGAGGACUUCUGGAGGUAUCGGAAGUGCGAAUGCUGACAUGAGUAACGAUAAUGCGAGUGAAAAACUCGCACGCCGAAAGACCAAGGGUUCCUGUCCAACGUUAAUCGGGGCAGGGUGAGUCGGCCCCUAAGGCGAGGCUGAAAAGCGUAGUCGAUGGGAAACGGGUUAAUAUUCCCGUACUUGGGUGUACUGCGAUGGGGGGACGGAGAAGGCUAGGCCAUCCGGGCGUUGGUUGUCCCGGUUCAAGCAGGUAGGCUGAGAUCUUAGGAAAAUCCGGGAUCUUAAGGCUGAGAUGCGAUGACGGUGAGACUACGGUCUCCGAAGUGGUUGAUGCCCAGCUUCCAGGAAAAGCCUCUAAGCUUCAGGUACCCCGAAACCGUACCCGAAACCGACACAGGUGGUCAGGUAGAGAAUA